rnacentral:rRNA from 1 species
GGCUCGAGACGACGCUGGCGGCGUGCCUAAUACAUGCAAGUCGAACGGUCUUUCUAUGGAAGCUUGCUUCCACUGAGAAGAUAGUGGCGAACGGGUGAGUAACACGUGGGUAACCUGCCCAUAAGAGGGGGAUAACAUCCGGAAACGGGUGCUAAUACCGCAUAGUUUUCUUGAUCGCAUGAUCGGGAAAGGAAAGACGGCCUUUGUGCUGUCGCUUAUGGAUGGACCCGCGGCGUAUUAGUUAGUUGGUGAGGUAACGGCUCACCAAGACGAUGAUACGUAGCCGACCUGAGAGGGUGAUCGGCCACAUUGGGACUGAGACACGGCCCAAACUCCUACGGGAGGCAGCAGUAGGGAAUCUUCCGCAAUGGACGAAAGUCUGACGGAGCAACGCCGCGUGAGUGAAGAAAGGUUUUCGGAUCGUAAAACUCUGUUGUCAGAGAAGAACAAGUUGGAGAGUAACUGCUCCAGCCUUGACGGUAUCUGACCAGAAAGCCACGGCUAACUACGUGCCAGCCGCUGC